rnacentral:lncRNA from 1 species
GUCUGGAGGAGGAAGAAAAGAGAGCCAGCCGAGCACCCUCCAAGCAGAGGACAAGAUCGCAGAGGAAGGUGGGCGGCGGGAGUGCCCAGCCGUGUGACAGCAUCGUUGUGGCGUACUACUUCUGCGGGGAACCCAUCCCCUACCGCACCCUGGUGAGGGGCCGCGCUGUCACCCUGGGCCAGUUCAAGGAGCUGCUGACCAAAAAGGGCAGCUACAGGCCUCCUUCCCAUCUGCGGUGCUGCCUGCUCACUGCCCUCCUCACCUCCGUCCUGCAGAUACUACUUCAAGAAAGUGAGCGACGAGUUUGACUGUGGGGUGGUGUUUGAGGAGGUUC